UGCGCAGGCGGAAUGAUCAGUCAGUGGUGAAAACCUACAGCUCAACUGUAGACCCGCCAUUGAUACUGUCAUUCUUGAGUACAGUGGAAGUGGGCGGAAUGUAUCAUGUAGCGGUGAAAUGCAUAGAUAUGAUACAGAACUCCGAUAGCGUAAGCAGCUCACUAUACUGUAACUGACGCUCAGGCACGAAAGCGUGGGGAGCAAACAGGAUUAGAUACCCUGGUAGUCC
rnacentral:rRNA from 1 species